rnacentral:rRNA from 1 species
AGUGAACGCUGGCGGUAGGCCUAACACAUGCAAGUCGAACGGCAGCACAGUAAGAGCUUGCUCUUACGGGUGGCGAGUGGCGGACGGGUGAGGAAUACAUCGGAAGCUACUUUUUCGUGGGGGAUAACGUAGGGAAACUUACGCUAAUACCGCAUACGACCUACGGGUGAAAGCAGGGGAUCUUCGGACCUUGCGCGAUUGAAUGAGCCGAUGUCGGAUUAGCUAGUUGGCGGGGUAAAGGCCCACCAAGGCGACGAUCCGUAGCUGGUCUGAGAGGAUGAUCAGCCACACUGGAACUGAGACACGGUCCAGACUCCUACGGGAGGCAGCAGUGGGGAAUAUUGGACAAUGGGCGCAAGCCUGAUCCAGCCAUACCGCGUGGGUGAAGAAGGCCUUCGGGUUGUAAAGCCCUUUUGUUGGGAAGGAAAAGCAGCAGGUUAAUACCCCGCUGUUCUGACGGUACCAAAAGAAUAAGCACCGGCUAACUUCGUG